rnacentral:rRNA from 1 species
AUUGAACGCUGGCGGCAUGCCUUACACAUGCAAGUCGAACGGCAGCGCGGGAGCAAUCCUGGCGGCGAGUGGCGAACGGGUGAGUAAUACAUCGGAACGUGCCCAAUCGUGGGGGAUAACGCAGCGAAAGCUGUGCUAAUACCGCAUACGAUCUACGGAUGAAAGCAGGGGAUCGCAAGACCUUGCGCGAAUGGAGCGGCCGAUGGCAGAUUAGGUAGUUGGUGAGGUAAAGGCUCACCAAGCCUUCGAUCUGUAGCUGGUCUGAGAGGACGACCAGCCACACUGGGACUGAGACACGGCCCAGACUCCUACGGGAGGCAGCAGUGGGGAAUUUUGGACAAAGGGCGAAAGCCUGAUCCAGCCAUGCCGCGUGCAGGAUGAAGGCCUUCGGGUUGUAAACUGCUUUUGUACGGAACGAAACGGUCUUUUCCAAUAAAGAAGGCUAAUGACGGUACCGUAAGAAUAAGCACCGGCUAACUACGUG